GCCAGAUGUUAAGCAUUAUAUUGAACAAAAGAAGAAAGAGCUCUACCUAAUCAAAAGCACAGGCAGUUCUUUUAAAGAUGUGGGAAAACAAGUUACCACUCAAAAGUCAAAAAGUAGGCUGAAAAACCCAUUUGUGAAGGUAGAAGAUAGAAGUCGGUGAGUGUUCUGUGUGCUUUCAAUGUAGUUUUCAAACUGAGAAAUUCAGAACAUGUUGUAUGUCUUGAUGGGCUUGCUGACUUUAAAGCCAGACAUUUCCAUCUCUGUGUGGCCUGGGUAGGUAUCUGUGUUUAGCCUUUGGAUGAAGUGAAAGAGGUAUUAGUAUGGUUGGAAAUGUUUGGGUUGGGUAGUAGUCAUGAAAAGUUAAUGUGUAGCAAUUUGUAGAUCAGGCAGGGGGAUUCGUCUCGUUUAUUUUGUUCUUUGAGCCAGACGAAUUGAAAGGAGGAAGCCUUGAAACUUUAAAUCUUGACAUGUUGCCUGUUUUUUCUUAGAUGUAGUUAAAGCUUUCUAUAUUAAAUAUUAGUAGUUCUAACUCUUAUGUUCAUCUUGGGAGACUGUAAGAAAAGUCAUUAUACCAUAAAACAUUCCUUGAAAUCAGGCUAAAUUUACAGUUCAGUGAUUUAUUACUUAAAAAAUAACCAACACAACUGUUAAUCUAACUUCAUUACUGUCGUAGCAUAAGUUCUGAUACUUCCAGACUUCACAAUUUUUGCAUUUUUCUGAGCUUGUAACUGAUCGGAUCUGGUUGUGUAACUCCUCAAUAAGGAAAGAG